GAUGAACGCUGACAGAAUGCUUAACACAUGCAAGUCUACUUGAACUUCGGUUUGGGUGGCGGACGGGUGAGUAACGCGUAAAGAACUUGCCUCACAGUUAGGGACAACAUUUGGAAACGAAUGCUAAUACCUGAUAUUAUGAUUUUAGGGUAUCCUAAGAUUAUGAAAGCUAUAUGCGCUGUGAGAGAGCUUUGCGUCCCAUUAGCUAGUUGGAGAGGUAACGGCUCACCAAGGCGAUGAUGGGUAGCCGGCCUGAGAGGGUGAACGGCCACAAGGGGACUGAGACACGGCCCUUACUCCUACGGGAGGCAGCAGUGGGGAAUAUUGGACAAUGGACCAAAAGUCUGAUCCAGCAAUUCUGUGUGCACGAUGACGUUUUUCGGAAUGUAAAGUGCUUUCAGUUGGGAAGAAAAAAAUGACGGUACCAACAGAAGAAGUGACGGCUAAAUACGUGCCAGCAGCCGCGGUAAUACGUAUGUCACAAGCGUUAUCCGGAUUUAUUGGGCGUAAAGCGCGUCUAGGUGGUUAUGUAAGUCUGAUGUGAAAAUGCAGGGCUCAACUCUGUAUUGCGUUGGAAACUGCAUGACUAGAGUACUGGAGAGGUAAGCAGAACUACAAGUGUAGAGGUGAAAUUCGUAGAUAUUUGUAGGAAUGCCGAUGGGGAAGCCAGCUUACUGGACAGAUACUGACGCUAAAGCGCGAAAGCGUGGGUAGCAAACAGG
rnacentral:rRNA from 1 species